CUGGUGACCUAUCACUACUGGUUUCCAGCAGGCCUCCAUCUUAGGCCCUGUGUGCUUCAACAUCUUCAUAAAAGACCUGGACACAGGACUGGAAGGGAUAUUUAUCAAGUGUGUAAACAGUGCAAAGCUGGGAGGGGCUGAUGGCUCCCAUGAAGUGCCAGACCAAACAAAAGUAGGACAGAAGAUGAGAGAGAAAGAAGGAGGAAGGGAGAGAGCGAGGAAGGAACAGGCUGUGGACUCAGCUCUAAACUGUUGCUACUGCCUCCUCGCAAGAGCAGCAUUAACUGUUCUAAGGAUUUUAGAUGCCAUAAUAAUGGAUAAGAUUUGAAGAAACUACAGAGGUUUUUGACCAUGAACAAUCAGAGACUUGUUCAAUUUUGUAUCAGAGGGAUUAAAUUCAACACUAAAUCCUCUUCAAGCCAAAUCUUCCUGGUUCCAAAGAUGGAUGUGCUGCUGGUCAUCUUCUCCCGGAGCAGCUGGAGAAGUCUUGAGUGAUAAAUUUACCAAAACCUCUAUGUCUCCCUGUCUCCCUGUACCGCUGGAGAAGAAGGAAGAUGUGUCCGAUGUUCUCAAAGACUUAACAUUUAUUCAGGCUACCCUUCUACUUGCAAUAAUGCAAACUGUUUCUUACUACACUAGUCUGAAACAUACAUAAGAUGAAGAAAUCAAACAGCAAUUUCUCAGCUACUACAAGACUGCCAUUAGCAAUCUAACAGCAUGACAUUCUUGAGAAGUAAGAAACACCCCAUGCAAGCAGUAUGUCUUCUGUUCUUUCUUCCUGAACCUCCUCCUGCUUCUGCCACCCAGAAAAAGCAGUAGUCACAGUUUGUGGAAGAACCUGAAAUGAUUUUUACUGGCAACAAGUGAAACCCAAGAGACUUAUAGCUAUAAGGACUUCGAUGCACUAAGCCAUCCUACUUCAAUUCAGUCCUACCAUCUUAAAGAAAUUAAUUAAUGCCUUCAAUGCAAUAAAGACACUACUUAAAGAAAAGAAAGAUCAUGAAAGUUACUCACAAAGGACAGGAGAAAAUGCAAGGCUUCCAUGAACCUGCAGAGAGGAUGAUCUAUAACUUUAUCCAUAGCUUUAUCCAUGUUUGAGCUGUGUUAAAAUCUACAGUCGCUCUUCCUGCUCCCUCUACUACAACACUGAAAUAUGGUUUCUUGGAGAUUCUGGAAUUGGUUUAAUUAUUUCAGUACUCAUAACCCAUACUAGCAAUGAAUAUUUACAAGAAAGUUACACAAUAAUUUUCCUAGGCAUUGAAUAAACCUACAGUUUAUUCAAAAACCUAGAUCAAACCGGAUCCACAAAACUGACACAUUCUUUACACUAAGUCUAAUAAAAACUGGGAGGAAAGGUACAGCUUUAUUAGUCAUACUCUUCCUUGGAUGAGUUUAGAAAUGGUUUAGAAAAUGAAGAAGUACAGAUGAAAAAUGCAUACAUUACACACCCCCUUUUAGCAAAACUGCCACAGGUUUAUUUCAUUUUUGACUCUGAACAUUUUAGUGAGAAACAAUUGGGGCUGACCCAAUUCCUUAUGCACCCUCACACAGCUCAGCCCUAAGGAAUGGAAAAAGGAGAAAGGAUGAAGGAGGCUGUCAGGGAAAGAAUUUUUCAUUUUCAGAUUUUACCUCCAUCAAGCACAGGACUGGAUGAGACAGAAUUUGAUGAGACAUAAUCAUGCAAUGUCACCUUCUACAUUGAUUAGUCAAUGUUGGUAAAUAUAUUAAGUAGCAAGGCACACUCCUGUUUUCUAGGCUGUGGAAUAUAGAGCCAUGGAGAAAAACCCUCAUUUAUUCUAAAUAAAGAUUAAAUAUUUUUAAUAGAUUAAGUACAUUUUUACUCUAGAAAAUGUGGAAUUCAAAACUUAUGAGGUAAACAUUCUAUAUUUUUAGAUAUGUGAAUAAUAUAUAAGAGUACUCAGCUAAGCUCAUCUCUUCCUAUUGCCUUGGAAAGCUGUUACAUGAACUAAGGGAAGUCUUAUUAGCUGAAAAUGGGCGUGUGGCACAACUUUCCAUUUUUAGGUGAAACUGACAUUUCAUUGCAUAACCACAUUACAUAGUGGAACAGUGUGCCAUGAUGAAAUGAUAAGAUAGCAGCUCUCAGAUGCACAGAGAAAGCAAAAAUUACACUGAGCUAGGAAAAAUAUUGUUAAAUUAUACACCAGUUAUCCCCUUUGCCUGUCCUCCCAGCUUCCUUCCUUCCCAAAAAAGAAAUCAAUGAUUUUUCUUCUGAAGAUAUUCAGCAGUGCCAUCAUGAAUGUUAUUACAGGCACCUGAGAGAUCCUUGUACCAUUGUGUCUGGUAAGGAAUGAAAUGUUUGCUUGAUGUAUUGAAAUUUUUAGCCUGUUUUUCUAAGCUUUUUUUUUUUUUUUUUUUUUUUUUAAUUCCUGACUUUUAAUCUAGUAGCUCUCUAUUUUCCAGCCACAGAAUGAUUUUCAAACACCCAUCCUUCUUUUUAGAUCAACGCUUGCACUGACACUGGCAGUUUGCAGAUUUUCCUUUUAAACUUCAUAAGCCAGCUAAACCACUUUCCAUGGCAAUAUGAAUCACAAGCAUGAAAGUUUGGGAAUUACUAGGUUGAACAGAAUUUAGAAGUCAGGAGAAAAGCCCAUUUUGAAUUAUAAUAUUGAAGGCUAAUAUUAUAAUUAAAAAAACAAAGAUGAGGAUAAUAUUGAUGGCAACUUCAGAAAAGUUUUUUUUUCAAAUUCCUUUAAGACUCAGUUAAGAUCUGCUUUCUUCGGCAGUGUAGGAUUAGGACCAGAACACAUUGGCAGUCUUAAUUCACAUGCAAGGAGCUAGUGAAAGUUAUCAGUACAUGGAAAAUAGUCAGAAUGGAUUACUUUCGUAUUUAAGGUAAAAAUCUCUUUUUCUCUAGCUUCAGAAAAUGCAUUUUGCAGUUCUGGAAGUUAUUUAUUUGUUGAAAGACAUGACUAAAACAACAACACAGCAAGAAAUUUCUGCAAAGUUAUGUAUAUUUACACUUUUUCUUUGGGGGCGAGUAAAAAAACCCAACACCUUCCUAAAUUUGAUGCACACUCUUCACAAAGAAUGUUUUAUAGCACAAACAGCUGUCCCAACACUUUCUCACAACAAAAUUGCAGUGCUAUGGACAAAUGAAUCUCUCAAAGAAAAGUAGUUUAGAGCAGAGGGGUAUCUGUACAAACAAGGAAUUAGUUGAAGAAUGUCCAAACCAUGCUGUAGUAAAAAAGAUGAGGUCUUGCAUACUUGGUGGAUCCAUGGAAUUGCAUGGGUUGCGCCUUCCAUGGAGCACUAUUUGACUCAAAAAUGCUCUAUGAAAGAACCACAAAAAAAUAAAACUGAUGAUAUUUACUUGCUUCAGAUGAAUCUGUAACUCAGGUAACAAGUACAACACAGUUCUUCAGCUUAAUGUGCUAUCUUUCAAGUUUCUGCAUGUUAUCAUCUUUAUACCAGAUUGUAUUACCAGAUAUAUGAUACAUAUGUGUAAGGGGAGGUUUGGUUGGAUAUUAGAAAUAUUGGAUAUUCUUCAACCAGAGAGUGGUUGGGCACUGGAACAGGCUUCCCAGGGGAGUGGUCACAGCACCAGCCUGGCAGAGCUCAAGAAGGGUCUGGACAAUACUCUCAGGCACAGGGUGUGACUCUUGGGACAGCCUGUGCAGGCCAGGAGCUGAACUCAAGAACCUUUGAGGGUCCCUUCCAACUCAGAAUAUUCUAUGAUUCUAUAUUUAGGAGGUCAGCAAGAGGGGAAGAAUAGGAGAAAGCCUUUUCCAUGAUGAGCGCAUUUUUUUCAAUUUACCAUUAUUAAAAACACUCAAGAGUUCUAUUUUUUGCUAACAUAUUUUGGAAAACCUUGAAUCAUUAACUGAUUUUCCAAAUUGUUUUCAAUACUAUUGACAUAUUUCAUUCAUAUUGAUUAGUUACCUUCCAGAAAGAAUAAUUUUAGUUUCUGAAGUUAUGAGACAUUUUAAGAAAAUAGGCAUUUUUCAAUAUACAUGCACACUUAAAUAUAUAUUUAUAUAUAUAAAUAUAAAUAUAAAGAAAAAAUGAAAAAAGCUACAUGAGAAUAGAUCUUAUUUCUACCACAUUUGUUACUAUUAGCUCAAAUCAAUUCAGACAUUUUUCCUGUUUUGUUUUAUUUUUGUUGUGUUUUAGAAGUAUAAAUUAGAUCUGAAACGGUAGCAUUUUUCAAAAAACAGAAAACCCAGUUCUGCUCUGUUCUAAAUCAUUAUCUUACUGUAUUGUUUUGUGCCUUUGUGAUCAACAAUAACUCAUUCAUUGUCCUUGUCUUCCUUAUUACACAUUGUCUAAGCAUAUAUGGAACUAAAAUUCCAUUCUCAGGAUGCAAAGUAUCAUACUGUCAACCCAAAUCCAUAAUCUGAAGAAAGGCCUGAGGAAAAUUACUCUAGUAAACCGACAGAGUUUACUUCUAGUAAACUCUGUCGGUUUACUAGAAGCUCAACAUGACCCAGCAAUGUGCACUCGCAGCCCAGAAGGCAAAU